CAUACAGCUGAUGCAAACAAGGUAUCACCAACACUUUGGAACAAGGCUCCUGCAUCCAUCAUAGUCUUCCCUGACUAGUGGCGAAUACUGAAUUUGCAGUUGGCUCAUGCUACCACCCAUCGCUGGGGACUAACUGGUACAUGUGCAGAGUGCCUCCAAUAGGGGAGUUGCUUCAGCGAGAAUCAUAAUCAUUAGUCUUGGAGAGACUUUGGAGCAGCAUGCACAGACAUUCUGUAGCUGGUUCGGAUCUGCUAAGAACAUGGUGAACAGAGUGAUGCCCCACUUGGAUGUGAACUAGGUAUAACCAAUGGUAUGCAGAAACUGUGCCACCUGAGUCUACUCUCCCUAGAAACCAAAGUGAUUAUUAGGGAGAGUGUGCCCUGCAAGGUGCUGCAAGGGGGAAAGUGUUUGUAUUUCUGUUCUUGCUAUAUCUUCAAAGUACAUCUUUCUCUAAAAAUUGUUACCUGGUGACAUGGAACUGGAGUGCCGAUCAGUCACUGACAGCUAGCAGUAGAGGGAGACAACCAGUGGGGUCAAGCUAGUGGCAAUAGAGAAGAGACAACCAGCCCCUUGGGGGGUACCCCUACAACAGCGAGGGGGCAAUGGAGUCAUUUUGACUCUGGGAGAGUAGGCCAAACUGUAUUUGCUACUAGCCUCUAAGCACCUAUAGUUAGGACAAGCUAAAAAUAUUUCACGGCCUCACUAUUAUCUUUUCGAAUUCUUUUUUUUAAAAAUCGAGUUAUAUUAGUUACUUAGCCAGAAGGUGACAGUAGAGAGGACCUAGACAGAAAAAGCAAAGGCUGCAUGGUGUAUAUCCUAUGAGGAGAUUCCUUCCAUUUUGGAACAGGCUAGACUAGAAGGGUCCCAACAUCUUUUCAGCUCUAGAGGUAGCACCCUCUGAUCUGCAUGCAAUCGAGGAACUGUCUUGUUCUUUUCGGGCCCAGAGGCAGCCCUAGAGCAUUGGAUGAAAACUGCAAAGGGGGAAAUUGAGGCCUGAUGUAAGGAAUGACCUUCUAACAAUUACAGCUAUCCCAAAGUAGGAUGGCCUCCCCCAGGAGGGAAUGGUUGCCCAUCACUAGAUUUCUUCAAGCAGAGGCUGCUCAGAAUGACCACUGGGGCGUUUUAAUGAGUAUUCUUUGAUGACUUAGUUUGCGCUAAGUGUUAAGCUGCUAUAGUUCCUUCCAACUCUGAGAUUCUGGGAAAUAUAUUAAAAGUUUCCUAAAGCACAUGGAAAAGGAAAUGUGCACAUGUGCAAUAUACAGUAUGUUGUCUCAUCCAUACCCUGUAAAUCCCCGGAUUUUGUGGCCCCAGAACUAGCACAAUGCAGAGCACAGCAGCUGUUUUGAUUUACAGGUCACCAGUUCAAAGAGAACAUGAGAUGGAGUUUCCUUCUUCACUCAGGGCAAGAAGCAGGAACACACAGAGACAGCCUACGCUUUCUGUGCCACAGCACUAACAACAACUUCAUUUAUAUGGCAUUUCUAGGUUUGCAAAGCGUGUCACAAAUAUUAUCUCAUCUGAGUCUCACAACCACCCAG